CAAAAUCUCUCAUCAAAUGGCAAAAUCAAAAGAUCAAACUAUAGGAAAACAAGUGUCAUAUUCUUAGCUUGGUAUAGGAAUUUUCUAAUGUAAAACAUUGUGGAUUAAACCUGUUUUAUAGCUAGCUAAACCUCUUACUCGUAUGAUAGUCACAUAACAUUCCAUUAUAUUGACAACAAAGUGUGAACGAAAAUAAACCGGCAUGGUAGUCAAAAAAUUGGGGUACAGCAGUCAUCAUUUUGAUCUAUUUUAUCACUAUAAAAAUAAAGUCAUAUGUCAACGAA
rnacentral:lncRNA from 1 species